GCCGCUUCGGUCACACAAAGGUUUGUCCCUCGGCGCCUCCUUUGAGCAAAGCUCCACGUCCCCAGCUAUCCCACCCACUCUAAUGGGAUCCCAGCUUUGGGGACCCUUGAGGCCUGAAGCCAAACAUCUGUCUACAGGAUAAAACUACAGGAAGAAAUGAAGUAUGUAGACCUAAUUUACAGAAUGUUCUGCAGACAAAUCAGAAGUUAAAACCGAACAAGAGAGUUCCUGGAACAUCAAAAACUCAAAUGAAGAUUUGAAUAAUGUAUAAGUCAAGCGGAGGUUGAAGCUGAUCUGCAUCCAGGUGCUGUGGGACUUGCUGGGGGAGGCCAUCAAGGUAAGUGUGGGGCUAUCACAGUGAAGGCCAAUAUUUCAACACCAGAGUAGCAUAAUCAGCAACAUUAAUUAAUUUUGUGUUCUUCAUGCAAGCCUCAGCUAAGAACGCUACCGGCGUCUACUAGUAUUAAUAAUAGGCAUACUAAGUGUUAUUAGUAUUAAUAUUUUAAUUGUUAGUGUUAACACUGGUAGUGAGUGUGUUAGCUGGUGUUUACUGUGAAGCUCUGCUCUCCCACAGUAUGACAAGAGCCUGAAGCUGACCUCUUUCCAAACAGUGGCAAGCCUUGGAGAUUUUUUAAAUUUGUUUUUUUAGGGAAGCAAUGCGCAGUUGUGUUCACAGUAACUAGGCUGCAAUCACCAAGUGGCCAGAUUUCUUGGCUUGUGUAGCCAACUGGCUGGGGAGUGACCGUUUUUUAUCACAAGAAUGAGGUUCAAUGCUAAAAAUUUGAAGCGAAAACAUGACUGUAGUUUGUUCGGGAAUCUGAGUGCAUGCGUCUUUGCAUCUGUAAGGGCAGUGAGCAGUGCAGCCUCACAGCUUCAUGUCCAUAUUUGUGCAUGCUCUAUCAAGCAUACUUUCCACUGCCUUCAAUGAGACAAACUCCUUCCUCCUCCUCUGUCGUGCAGAAGAGAUGCAUGACAAAAUUGCAUGUUGUAACAGAGAAAAGGAAACGCAAUUAUUUGAAUAAUAAAAUGUUUGCUUCAUCUAAAGAUUUAUUUUACCACACAUAUUAAUAUCUGACUUCCCCACUUUGCUGUCUUGGGUAUAAUUAACACUUAUACCACCAGAGUGUCUGGAUAUAAGGCAAGUGAAUAUUAAAACAUAAGUUGUGUCCAAAAUGUUCCAGUUUCUAUCCCUUGAAUUAUCCUCAUGUGACUUGUUCUGUGCCAGUAUUAGUAACCAUUGCUCAUGGCUUUCAAACAACUCAAACUUCUUUCACAGAUUACAUUCCUGCUCUUCAUAACUUAGAUCAACAGUGAAAUGCGAAUUAUUGGACUCAAAGAACCCAGGCAGAAACCCAUGUUUCUCAGGCUUUGUUUAUAUAAAACACAGCACCAAGCAGUGUUCCUCUCUCUGCAGAAGCCUUACUCACCCAUGCAGAAAGCACACACCCUUCCUAACCAUGGCUUUCAUCCUGCCCUAGAGAACUGAAGGACUCCAGUAAUAAGCUGACCUCUGCUGCUCCCACUUUCCUGAACUGCAGUUUUAAAUUUGUCUAAAUUUCAAUCUCCUUGUUCUAGGUCUCAAUGUCCUGCAAGAAACCACGCUAAUACUUGAAACCAUACUAAUAUUUAAGUUUUGCUUCACAGAUCCCUAAUUUCAAAUCCAGUCCUACUGGUUAUCAUAUCCAAAACCUUGUCAAUGUUCCCUACCAUUCACUACUCUCAGGAAGGAUCAUCCACAACCUGUCAGGAUUCUUUAAGGAUAUUUUCUACAUUAAUCUUUCUUUAUCUUAAACAUAAUGUUAGCCAAUAAACAAAAUAAACCCCCACCAACCCAGACACCCUAAAAAUUAAGUUUUGAGAGAACCACACAGCUCACUACAAAUAGUAGCUCAUACAUGAUUCCUGCAGAACUUAGUAGGUCCACCUAUUAACUUGCUUGUGUAGCCUCCCCUUUCCUAGACCAUAACAUUCAAGAUCAGGAUGUUUUUUUUAAAUACAAUACCAAUAAGUUAUAUUGAGUUCAUACCAAAAUGAGUGGCUUGUCUCAUAUCAAAGUUUGCUGGUUUCCCUUAAUUUUUGAAGAAAAUAACAUAAAACCAAGACCUUAGCCCUCUUUUACUGGACCUGUGAUCAUAAACCACCUAAGAGCAUUCCUGACAGUGAAUGGUCUUGCAUCCUUAGCCCAGUCACUGUUUUCUAGAUCAAGAGAUCUAGUCCUGAAACUGUUGGUCUACUGUUCCAAUUGCAACUAGCCAGAAGCUGUAAAUCCUUACUACCACCAGCCCUCAUCCUAGACACACCCUACUGACAAGAUCCUGCAGUAAAUGUAUUUGUCCGGCUCUUCCUCUCCUGAGCCCUAGCCCCCACUGUAGCCAUACAGCUCAUCCCUGCCACUCCAGAGCAUCAGCCAUAAUUGUAACCUCAACUGGAAUCAGUCCUCUCCUCCACAGAAUUAAUCACCUGCAGACUAAUCAUCUCUCCACUGCUAGAUGGAAAAACCUAUGAAAUUUGGCUUACUGGACAGCAAAAAUGCCAAUACAGGAAAACUGUCUUCCAGUGAUAUGUUCCUUUUUCCUCAACUGUUGCUUGAAAACCAUUUUUAAAGGUACUGCUGUCAGUUUUAACUGUUUUUGUUUGAAGAAAUUAGUUUCGUUUUAGUGUAGUUUGUCAAUGCUUUUACUAACCAUGGCUAACAGAAAAUCUUUAUUUGCAGCUUAAUAGCAAAAGGAAAAAUACAUGAAGGCUUCUUCAAUAUCAGAAAUGCUGUGCAAGGACAAAUACACUGUCUCCAGCAAAUAUGCAAAUGCUUUACCAGAUCUAAGCUGUAUAGAGCUUUGCUGGAUGGGAUUUUUAUCUUUGUCUUUAAUUACACUUGUAUGUGUUGGAAGAUAUUUUCACUUACUGCAAAAAAGAUUUACUAAAUUUAUUAAAUUAUAUUCUCUCUUUUCCUCUCUCAAAUUCUCACUCUUCUAAUCCAGUGGUAGUUUUAAAAGUAUAAUCCUCAUUAAUUUUAAUAGGUUCUGAAAGAUACUGUAUACCAGUACCUUAUAAAACUUACAGCAUGACAAAAUAAUGUUCAUGAACAAUGUCCAAAUUGUUCAUGAUUCAAUGUCUAGAAUUUACAUGAACACUUCGCUCUAUAGAUAAAUUUCUUCAACAGCAAUUGCCUGGAUUUUUCCACAGGUCUUCCUAAACAUUUCUUUUUUGGUAAUGCAAGAAGUCAUUCCCCAAGAGCAGUAUUUUGUUCCCCUUCAAGUCAAAUAUUAAAAAUUUCUUGAGUUUCUUGGGAACAAGAGCAUUGUAAAAAUAAAAUCCCUUCUCUGAUAACCUCUGAUUUUUUUUUUUUUUCUCAGAAAGCAAACACAACAAAGAUGACCUUUUCAACAGUUCCAUUUCUGUCCUUAGGGUGUAACUCUAAGAGUGUUCUUUGUUUAGUGCAAGAACAGCUCAAGGAUCUGUGAAGGCAGGUUAUGUCAUCUCAUGCUCCCUCUGGACUGCCCUGAGGCAAAGUUGUCCCUUUCUAGUGAUGGUUUACAGCUGUUUCCGGGUGUUUCUGGGCAUUGGUAUAGCACAGGAGCCUCCAGAUAAGUAAGGAAAAAAGUUGAUUAGUCUUACACUGCAUCACAGCAGGGGCAACUCUUUUUUGAACUCUCAUAAUUUCUCAUCAGCCCUGGUAUACUGCUAUGGUUACCACAGAAGAGGCUGUAAGUCUGCUCUUAAUCCCUGUGAAUCCUUCCUGAGGAUGGGAGGAAAUGGGGCUGCCACAGAGGAAGGUCGAAUGAAGAACUAAACUUGUAUCCCAGCCACAUAUCAAGUGUGUAAGUCAAAAAAGAAUUAAAAUCAUUAUACAGAUUCAGAAAUCAGACCAUGCUUGAGCCUCUCUAGCUAUGAAUUUUCAGGUCUGUGCAGAGACCCAUAAGAGACUUUGUGGCCCAAGCUUUGCAGGAGGGAGGCGAAUGUUUAAAUUUUCUGGAUCUCACUUUAGGUAAAAUGAGCAAUCUGUUGUGGUGAAUGUUGCCUGUGUGCCAUGUCAUUCUCCUCAUCUGCUGUUUGCUCUUGUAGUUAAACAAGGCUCUGCAGGACAUUUCCUAGUUACCUUGCUCUGCUGGCACUGAGCUGGGUGGCCAUGCUGGGCUCAACAAACACCACUGGAAUUGGAGAUCCACUGUUCAUUUGGGCAUGUGAGCAGAGUGAGGGACAGAACCACCCAAACACAACCCAUGCCUAUGAAAAGCCACUGUCAGCCUUUCUAGAAUAUCUCUGCAAGGAUCUCUGCUUGAAUAAAUGCUGCUCAUCAGGUUGUCUCUUUAGACAGAAGCUGAAAGAGAAAGGGAUGUCUGCUUGUAUAGGCAUAUACUGCAUUUUUCUUGUUUUA